GGUUUGGCCCUUGUUCCUGUAACUCGAAUCCUAGCCCGAUCGGGUUAACCUGAUAUGCCAGCCCUACCGGUGUUAUUUUGACAAUAUCAAUUCGUUUCUCAAGGUACGUGAAGCUUAAAGGAUGUUUUUCGGGAGUUGUACGGGAGUUAGAAAGAUAUGAAGGAAAGAGGAUAGAAGAUAAUAGGGUGAAUAUGGGUUUGGAGGGUGUUUAUGGCGAGUUUGGAUGAAAAUUCGAAGCCGGAGGCAAAAACUGAGCAAGAAUCACCUCAUGAACCUAAAACAACUUAUUCAAUAAAAAAAAAAAAAAAAA